CGCGGGUCGCGGUGCCCGCUCUAGUGGGCCGGCGCAGGCGCCUCAGCGAGCGGCGGGCCAGGGCGCUCACGCUUCAGAUCAUCAUGGAUGUAAGGAUGUGGUGGUAGCGGCUACGGAUUACACCGCGACCGCUGAUGACGAGGUGUCACUCAAGUCGGGUGACAUUGUUGAGGUUCUCGACAGCAAAUCCGCUCUUGGAUCCAAGUACAGAGGGCGUGUCUAUUGUUACGAGAAUCAUUUCUUCCAAACCAGAGGUCCGUCUCUGGACUAUGUGUUUAGUGUGCCCACAUACAAAA